rnacentral:ribozyme from 13 species
CAAUAAACAAACACUUCUCCAAACAAGAAGGAGAGAGAGAAGAAGAAGAAGAGAGAGAAGAAGAUUCGAGAGUUGUGGUUGAUGAUUCUAAUCUUUUUAGUAAUUUUUCGAAUUGUUGUUGUUGUUCUGGUGUUGCUGAUUUGUAAAAAUCAUUACAAGAAGAAGAAGAAGAAGAAGAAGGAGUAGUAGAAGAAGAAGAAGA